AAGUCGUAACAAGGUCUCCGUAGGUGAACCUGCGGAGGGAUCAUUACCGAGUGAGGGCCCCCGGCCCGACCUCCCACCCUUUGUGAUAAUGCCCUUGUUUCCUCGGGGGUCGCGCUCGCGCGCGCCCCCGGCGGACCACACCAACGCGGUUGUUUGAGCGUCGGUUUGAUUGAAGAAUAGAAUCAAAACUUUCAACAACGGAUCUCUUGGUUCUGGCAUCGAUGAAGAACGCAGCGAAAUGCGAUAAGUAAUGUGAAUUGCAGAAUUCAGUGAAUCAUCGAGUUUUUGAACGCACAUUGCGCCCUCUGGUAUUCCGGGGGGCAUGCCUGUUCGAGCGUCAUUGCACCCAUCGAGCCCGGCUCGGUAUUGGGACCCGGGGGUGACCCGGCCCCUAACGUCUCCGGCUGGAGCGUCGCGAUCGCAGCGUUGUGAUACAUCAAUUCGCUGGCGGUUCGGGCGCGGCACGCCGUGAAACCCUUCUAAAGUUUGACCUCGGAUCAGGUAGGGAUACCCGCUGAACUUAA
rnacentral:rRNA from 1 species